UCCUACGGGAGGCAGCAGUAAGGAAUAUUGGACAAUGGUCGCAAGACUGAUCCAGCCAUGCCGCGUGCAGGAUGAACGAUCUAUGAUCUGUAAACUGCUUUUGUUCGGGAAUAAACCCCUUCACGUGUGGAGGGCUGAAUGUACCGAAAGAAUAAGGGUCGGCUAACUUCGUGCCAGCAGCCGCGGUAA
rnacentral:rRNA from 1 species